CUACACUGAAGAAAAUUAUAAACGCAACACUUGUGUUUUUGCCCCCAUUUUUCAUGAGCUGAACUCAAAGAUCUAAGACUUUUUCUAUGCACACAAAAGGCCUAUUUCUCUCAAAUAUUGUUCACAAAUCUGUCUAAAUUUGUGUUAGUGAGCACUUCUCCUUUGUCGAGAUAAUCCAUCCACCUCACAGGUGUGGCAUAUCAAGAUGCUGAUUAGACAGCAUGAUUAUUGCACAGGUGAUAUAGAGAAAUAGGCCUUUUGUGAACAUAGAAAAAGUCUUAGAUCUUUGAGUUCAGCUCAUGAAAAAUGGGGGCAAAAACAAAAGUGUUGCGUUUAUAAUUUUCUUCAGUGUAG